rnacentral:misc_RNA from 1 species
GGGCGCGUGGCUACGGAUGAGUUCAUCCGUAUAUAUUCCUCCUGCACGACGUGGUACAUGCGCGGGUUCUGAUUUGCCUACGGGCUUUUGUUCUUCUCUCCGGCAAAGCAAAUUUUUCUGGGGAAACAAUUUGAGACUGCUUUUACUUGGAGUACAAGUCGUAGAUGCACACACAGUUCGUCAGUUCCAAAUUCCUGGGCUGGUCAAUAUCAGCGUACUAACCACAUGCCCAAUUUUUUUCUUAGCACCGAAACUUCUCCCAGGGAAAAUGCGCAUGGAAACAAAGCCAAGUCGCAGUCGUCAUGUCCUUUUUGCUGUGCUUGCGUUGUCUACAGACACACAGACAUAUAUAUUUUCGUGCAGAUUUGUCAUCAGUUAUGCACACACUCCUGAAUGCAGUUCGUUUGGUUGGACACUUGGA